GCAGAGUAGUAUGGAAAGCGUCAAGUGCCGUAGAACGGGAUGUUGAAUGCGGCCGAAAAGGCUCAGUCCUUGCGAUUUUCCAACGCAUCC
rnacentral:ncRNA from 1 species